GGUCGCGUGUUCUAAUGGUUAUGAUUUCUGUCUCACAUUGAGAUGCAAGGGUAUCUGCAGGGUGCUCACAGAAGGUUCCCGGUUCGAUCCCGGGCGCGACCA